GGGGAAUAUUGGACAAUGGGCGAAAGCCUGAUCCAGCCAUGCCGCGUGAGUGAUGAAGGCCUUAGGGUUGUAAAGCUCUUUCAGUGGGGAAGAUAAUGACGGUACCCACAGAAGAAGCCCCGGCUAACUUCGUGCCAGCAGCCGCGGUAAUACGAAGGGGGCUAGCGUUGUUCGGAUUUACUGGGCGUAAAGCGCACGUAGGCGGAUCGUUAAGUCGGGGGUGAAAUCCUGGAGCUCAACUCCAGAACUGCCUUCGAUACUGGCGAUCUUGAGUCCGGAAGAGGUGAGUGGAACUCCUAGUGUAGAGGUGGAAUUCGUAGAUAUUAGGAAGAACACCAGUGGCGAAGGCGGCUCACUGGUCCGGUACUGACGCUGAGGUGCGAAAGCGUGGGGAGCAAAC
rnacentral:rRNA from 1 species